AAAUGAAACAGAAACCUUACUUGAGAGCAGGCAGAGGCGUGGAACCAAUGGUGAUGUUGUUGUUGCCUACUCUUCUAAACUGCUGCUUGUUCAUCGUUUGCUGUUUUGCCUAUCAAGGAAGGUAACUACUCAAAGCAGUUGGCAAGACAAGCAUUCGAUGGAGCUCAAGCGUUGAUCUUGAAGGAAGGUAACUACUCAAAGGUAUGCACCUAUUCAUGUUGGAGCAGUUAAGUUUGCAAGGAUUUUCUGCUGGAGGGCAUGGUAUGUGCUCGUAAGAAGUUCUUUGUG